UCGAAAACCCACAGCCAUUUUCACUCCCCUCCCUCCCUCUCUCUACCUGUCUCUCCCCCUCUUUCUCUCUCUCUAAAAUUGGAACUUCGACAGUGGAAGACGAAAACAAACUUACGAAGCUUCAAUCGAAUCGCUGAUUCAAGUUGUUUUUGAAAUGCACCGUGUGGGUAGUGCGGGGAACACAAGCAAUUCUAGUCGCCCUCGCAAGGAGAAGAGGCUGACAUAUGUGUUAAAUGACGCUGAUGACACAAAGCAUUCUGCAGGUGUGAAUUGUCUGGCUGUACUCAAGUCAUUGGGAGCUGAUGGGUGUGAUUACCUCUUCACUGGGAGUCGUGAUGGCACACUUAAAAGAUGGGCUUUGAUGGAAGAUGCAGCUACCUGCUCUACUACUUUCGAGUCUCAUGUGGACUGGGUUAAUGAUGCUGUUCUUGCAGGUGAUAAUACACUUGUUUCCUGCUCCUCAGACACCACCCUUAAGACGUGGAACUGUUUGACUGAUGGAACAUGCACAAGGACUCUCCGUCAACAUUCUGACUAUGUCACUUGUCUUGCUGCUGCUGAAAAAAAUAGCAAUAUUGUUGCCUCUGGUGGACUUGGAGGGGAGGUUUUCGUAUGGGAUCUUGAGUCUGCACUUGUUCCACUCUCAAAGUCUGGUGAUGCAAUGGAAGAGGAUUCUCCAAAUGGCAUCAGUGGUUCAGGGAAUUCACUACCAAUUACUAGUUUACACACUAUAAGUUCGAGCAACAGCAUUUCUACACAUACAAAUCAGUCCAAUGGAUAUGUUCCAAUUGCUGCCAAAGGCCAUAAGGAGUCAGUUUAUGCAUUGGCGAUGAGUGAUAGUGGAACACUUCUUGUCUCUGGUGGAACAGAGAAGGUUGUUCGUGUUUGGGAUCCAAGAACUGGUUCAAAGACUAUGAAGCUACGAGGUCAUACUGAUAAUAUUAGGACUUUGCUUCUGGAUUCCACUGGCAGACUUUGCUUAUCAGGAUCUUCUGAUUCUAUGAUCAGACUCUGGGAUCUUGGUCAGCAGCGCUGCGUGCACUCCUAUGCUGUACAUACAGAUUCUGUUUGGGCACUUGCCAGCACUCCAACAUUUAGUCAUGUUUAUAGUGGUGGGAGAGACCUUUCUUUAUAUUUGACAGACUUGGCAACAAGAGAGAGUCUUUUGCUCUGCACAGGGGAACACCCCAUUCUGCAAUUGGCUUUACAAGAUGAUAAUAUAUGGGUUGCAACAUCAGAUUCUUCCAUCAAUAGAUGGCCUGUUGAAGGACGUAACCCUCAGAAGGUCUUUCAAAGAGGUGGUUCUUUCUUGGCUGGAAACUUAUCCUUUUCUCGGGCAAGAGUUUCCUUAGAAGGAUCUACUCCUGUUCCUGUUUACAAAGAACCAACGCUUAUCAUUCCCGGAACUCCUGGAAUAGUGCAGCAUGAAAUUUUGAAUAAUAGGAGGAAUGUGUUGACUAAGGAUACCUUUGGUUCAGUGAAGCUGUGGGAGAUCAGCAGGGGCAUUGUCAUUGAGAAUUAUGGAAAGGUGUCAUUUGAGGAGAAAAAGGAAGAGCUAUUUGAGAUGGUAAGCAUUCCUGCUUGGUUCACUGUGGAUACCAGGCUUGGAAGUUUAUCUAUCCAUUUGGACACCCCACAAUGCUUUUCAGCCGAGAUGUACUCAACUGACCUUAACAUUAUUGGGAAACCUGAGGAUGAUAAGGUUAAUCUAGCCCGGGAAACCCUUAAAGGACUUUUGGCUCAUUGGUUGGCUAAACGAAAGCAAAGAUUUGGAUCCCAGCCUUCAGCCAAUGGGGAUGUGUCAUCUGGAAAGGAUAUUAGCCAUAGAAGUCUUACCCAUUCAAGAAUCGAAGUUGAUUUUAAUGCCGAGAAUGAUGCAAUGGUAUAUCCUCCAUUUGAAUUUUCAACUGUUUUCCCUCCUUCCAUCAUUACUCAGGGCUCUCAUGGAGGUCCAUGGAGAAAGAAGAUUACUGAUUUAGAUGGAACUGAAGAUGAGAAAGACUUUCCUUUCUGGUGUCUGGACUGUGUGCUAAAUAAUCGCCUACCUCCAAGAGAAAAUACCAAGUGCAGCUUUUAUUUGCAUCCAUGUGAAGGUUCAACUGUCCAGAUCCUGACACAAGGGAAACUAAGCGCGCCUCGUAUAUUGAGGAUUCAAAAAGUAGUUAAUUAUGUUAUAGAAAAGAUGGUUCUUGACAAGCCCGUGGAUGGUAUAAAUACCGAUGGAACAUUUGCUUCCGGACUUGUUGGAGGGCAGUUAACACAUACAGUGGUUGGAGAUGGAUCCUUUCGGUCAGGAUUUAAGCCUUGGCAAAAGCUUAAACCUGCUAUAGAGAUAUUGUGCAACAAUCAGGUCUUGUCCCCAGACAUGAGCUUAGCCACAGUUCGGGGUUAUAUAUGGAAGAAAUCUGAGGACCUUAUUCUUAAUUAUAGAGUGGUCCAGGGCAGGUGACUCAUAUAACAUUCAGGAGGUGUGUAUUGUGUUCUAAUUUUACCGCUGCUUCUCUCUCUCUCUCUCUGAAAGCUACCUCUUAGUGCAUUGUUGCAUGUACAAAAUAAGUUAGAAUUUCUGGUGUCUGGAAAACAUUCUCUCACUCUCAGGAAGACAAAGGUUGUGGAGAAGGUUUUUUCAUAUUGAUAUAUAUGACCUUUUGGUGGUCCGAGAAUGCUUGCCACUUGAUUUGGUGCUGAUAUACACGUUUGAGCAUGAACAUAUAUUAAUUAGGAGACGACAGGAAUUAGCUUCACGGGGUUUUAGAGCGGGUUUCUUCUCCCCCCUCUCCCUUACAUUGCUCCCCAAACAAGUGGGAAAAAACAAGGAAAAAGGAACUUUGAUAGUGUAUGAGGGGAUUUCCAGUACUGACCAGAUAGGUCAGGUUGUGCUUGUGUAAAAUACGGAGGAAUAUGAUUCUUCAUGGGGGUGCUUAUGGUGAUCAAAGUAUGUAUCAGGUUUGUAAAUUUGAAAGUCCAUUGAUUGCUGAAUAUAGCCGCAUUCUCCGAAUGUGCUGUGAAGUUUUUGGUAUAGCAGUUCCAAAUGCAGCAUGCAAAGCUUUCAUCGGACGUUGCAUAGUCGUUAUCGAGCCGAGUCUUGCGUGCCGAAAUAGAAGGGUUUUUUGAGUAUGGAUCAGUAGAUUUAGGGAUAUAAUGAUGUCGAAAGCUUUGUAGUUCGGAUAUUGCGGAUACAUACCCUAGUCAUAGAAACUCUGUUGAUUUAUUGAUUUUUUCUUUUUUCUUUUUUCAUUUUGGAAAUAAAACAUCUCCCAUGUCGCAGUUUA